GACGAACGCUGGCGGCAGGCUUAACACAUGCAAGUCGAACGCCCCGCAAGGGGAGUGGCAGACGGGUGAGUAACGCGUGGGAAUCUACCUUUUGCUACGGGAUAGCUCCGGGAAACUGGAAUUAAUACCGUAUGUGCCCUUCGGGGGAAAGAUUUAUCGGCAAAGGAUGAGCCCGCGUUGGAUUAGCUAGUUGGUGGGGGAAAGGCCUACCAAGGCGACGAUCCAUAGCUGGUCUAAGAGGAUGAUCAGCCACAUUGGGACUGAGGCACGGCCCAAACUCCGACGGGAGGCAGCAGUGGGGAAUAUUGGACAAUGGACGCAAGCCUGAUCCAGCCAGGCCGCGUGAGUGAUGAAGGCCCUAGGGUUGUAAAGCUCUUUCAGUGGGGACGAUAAUGACGGUACCCACAGAAGAAGCCCCGGCUAACUUCGUGCCAGCCGCCGCCGUAA
rnacentral:rRNA from 1 species